CCUUUAGAAUUUGAAAUUUGUAAUGCUCAAUUAUAGUUCCUUUGACAACAGUUCACAAAAACCCAGGCAUGCAUUCAUAAUGGCAUCAUCAACCAUUAUAUACAUAUAUAGAUGAACAAAUGAAUCUCAACAUUUCACAAUAAAUAGUCAUAUACACGUAAUUAAAACUUGACCGGCAGCGGAGUGACUCUGGGCACGAUUGAUAACACUUAGUGUCACGUUAAACCUAUCGAGCAAUGUAUAAGGAAGAACACCUCGUCCUAGGAUCCAAUCACCUU
rnacentral:lncRNA from 1 species